rnacentral:misc_RNA from 1 species
GAUGAAGAACGUAGCGAAAUGCGAUACGUAGUGUAAAUUGCAGAAUUCAGUGAAUCAUCGAAUCUUUGAACGCACAUUGCACCUCUCGGUAUUCCGGGAGGUAUGCCUGUUCGAGCGUCAUUUGUACCCUCAAGCUCUGCUUGGUGUUGGGUGUUUGUUCCGCCUCUGUGUGUGAACUCGCCUCAAAACAAUUGGCAGCCGGCGUACUUGUUUCGGAGCGCAGCACAUUUUGCGAUCCAGAUCAACGUACAGCGGCAUCCAAGAAGCCUUAUUUAACGCUCUUGACCUCGGAUCAGGUAGGGAUACCCGCUGAACUUAAGCAUAUCAAUAAGCGGAGGA